rnacentral:rRNA from 1 species
GAUGAACGCUGGCGGCGUGCCUAAUACAUGCAAGUCGAGCGAACAGACGAGGAGCUUGCUCCUCUGACGUUAGCGGCGGACGGGUGAGUAACACGUGGAUAACCUACCUAUAAGACCGGGAUAACUUCGGGAAACCGGAGCUAAUACCGGAUAAUAUAUUGAACCGCAUGGUUCAAUAGUGAAAGACGGUUUUGCUGUCACUUAUAGAUUGAUCCGCGCCGCAUUAGCUAGUUGGUAAGGUAACGGCUUACCAAAGCAACGAUGCGUAGCCGACCUGAGAGGGUGAUCGGCCACACUGGAACUGAGACACGGUCCAGACUCCUACGGGAGGCAGCAGUAGGGAAUCUUCCGCGAUGGGCGAAAGCCUGACGGAGCAACGCCGCGUGAGUGAUGAAGGUCUUCGGAUCGGAAAACUCUGUUAUUAGGGAAGAACAAAUGUGUAAGUAACUAUGCACGUCUUGACGGUACCUAAUCAGAAAGCCACGGCUAACUACGUG